GGGUCUCCUCCUCUCUUCCCCGAUUGUGUGGGGGCUGUCAUUGACCUGGCGUCGCUGCAAAACCGAAGUCGCUGAAUGAUGAUGUUGUAAAGUUGCCCGCCCGUCCCUGCCACGCCCAGGUAGUUUUUGGCAGCGGCGGCCGCUCCGGCUGCUGCUCUCCAGCUACCGCUUCAUUGGAGAGUUUUCCCUGAGGGAGCUUGGGCGUUGGACGGAGGACGCCGGGUCAUUCCUGUCAUGACCAUCCAAGGUGUGAUAAUCACAUGAGAGCACUCCGCUCCUGAUGUCAUUUGUCUCAUCAAACAAAAAUCUGUUUAAAAGUAAAUAUCCCUUUGACCAGAACCUUUCUUUAUUCAAUGGCUUGAUGGAUUUCCUUUACUCUGAUUCAAACCAAAGCUAUCCUUCUCAACCAAAACAAAAAAGGAUCUUGCAUGAGUCAAUCCCAGGAUGCCACUUUUACAGCACCAAUGGGUGAAGAAAACCUCAUGAAUAUCAAUCACAGAGACUCAGAGAGCAUCACUGAUGUCUGCUCCAAUGAAGAUGUCCCUGAAGUUGAACUUGUGAGCCUGCUAGAAGAACAACUACCCCAGUAUAAGCUCAGGGUGGACUCUCUCUUUCUUUAUGAAAAUCAAGAUUGGACUCAGUCCCCACACCAGCAGCAACAUGCAUCAGACACCCUCUCUCCAGUACUUGCUGAAGAGACUUUCCGUUAUAUGAGUGAGUAUUUGAAUUUAUCCGUUGAACUAAAGAUCAUGAGUAUCUUGUUGACUUUUACAAUAUUUGACAUCCCUAAAUGUUGUUUAGUUCGUACCUACUUUUAACUCAAACUGCUUUAACAACAUGAAGAGAUGACUCUAAUUGUGUUGUGUCUGAACGCAGAAAGUUUAUCGUUUUUAAGAAUCUGAGUGUCCAGGGUUGUGAGCAUACCUAGAGGUUUCCAAUUCUCUCCUCUUUUUCUUCACACUUUCCUCAGACUGAGUAGAAAGGGAAACAUUUUUUUAAAAAGUAGUGAGCGUGUUUAAAUUUUUAAUAUCCCUUUAUAUUUGUUAUCUUAACAGUUUAAUAUUUAGUCCGUUGAACUGACAUAGUCACAGGAACUUGUCAAGUCAUUAAGAAACAUAGUUCUUGGAUACAUAAGUGGUUUUAAUAAUGCCAAGGAGAAAUACAUGCACACUAUAUAGUCAUCUUCAUUAUUUAUGUAAGGAUUCAGAGAGAAUAUUUCAGUGAGAAACUAAGUCAGAUAUGUCCUAAAUAUAGAUC